rnacentral:rRNA from 1 species
UUAUAAGAGACAGCAGUAGCCGCGGUAAUACAGAGGGUGCGAGCGUUAAUCGGAUUUACUGGGCGUAAAGCGUGCGUAGGCGGCUUUUUAAGUCGGAUGUGAAAUCCCUGAGCUUAACUUAGGAAUUGCAUUCGAUACUGGGAAGCUAGAGUAUGGGAGAGGAUGGUAGAAUUCCAGGUGUAGCGGUGAAAUGCGUAGAGAUCUGGAGGAAUACCGAUGGCGAAGGCAGCCAUCUGGCCUAAUACUGACGCUGAGGUACGAAAGCAUGGGGAGCAAACAGGAUUAGAUACCCCCGUAGUCCCUGUCUCUUAUAC